UACGAAGGGGGCUAGCGUUGCUCGGAAUACUGGGCGUAAAGGGCGCGUAGGCGGACAGUUUAGUCAGAGGUGAAAGCCCAGGGCUCAACCUUGGAAUUGCCUUUGAUACUGGCUGUCUUGAGUUCGGGAGAGGUGAGUGGAACUCCGAGUGUAGAGGUGAAAUUCGUAGAUAUUCGGAAGAACACCAGUGGCGAAGGCGACUCACUGGCCCGAUACUGACGCUGAGGCGCGAAAGCGUGGGGAGCAAACAGG
rnacentral:rRNA from 1 species